ACUGUCAUAGCUCAAUGGUAGAGUGCGCCUCCCAUUGUUGCCAGUGACUGAAGUAUCGCAGGCAAGUGGAAAAAUCACGAGACGUGGGUUCGAAUCUCACUGGCAUCU